rnacentral:tRNA from 1 species
UCCCCGCAAAGUAAAACUUUCAAUUAAGACGAGGAGAGCUCGGUCUGGUAGAGCGAUAAACUGUGACUUUAUAGGUCAUGGGUUCAAGUCCCAUUCCUCGUC